UGCAAAGCAAUGAACGGACGAAGUAGUCGCUUUUCCCUAUUUCAGAGAGCUGGUGGUCGGUGUGAACCAGUAUAAAAAAGCAGAUGAAUUACAUCCGGGAGCAUAUUCACGCAGGAAAUGGCGUGAACGGUGAAAAAUCGUUAUCUUAUCAAGUGGGAAACUUCGAGCCAAGUUUCCAACAAGGGUGGUACCGCGUAUCCAACGUCCCUUCG
rnacentral:ncRNA from 1 species